rnacentral:lncRNA from 1 species
CUAAGGAAAAUAAUAAGAAAUAAAAAAAAUGAAAAUAUUAUCACAGAAAAAGUAUGUGUGAAAAUAUGAGUAUAAUGAACUUUAUGUGUUUUUCAUCUCCCUCUUCUAUGUCACUCUCUUUUUUGUUACUCUCUUUCUUUCACCCCUCUCCAUGUUUCUCUUCCUAUUCUAUUUUUUAUUUGUUUAUAUCCUUCUUUUUU